rnacentral:lncRNA from 1 species
GCAUUCUAGGCCAAGGGGUCACAGUCCACCCUGAACUGUGCCUCCCAGCCUGAAGCCAGAAAGCUCAGGGAGGCUAGCGGCCCUGCCCAGGCCUCAGCACUGACCCUGCACCCCUAGGCCCAGCUGGAUGACCCCUAAGAGCUUCCUGGAAUUUGGAUGCAGGGUUAUUCUGUGUGUGCUGCCUCUCAGAGCAUGUCACUUUGACGUGGACAUCUCGGGUCUGGUUCUGGUGCUGUCCCUGUCUCGCCACGUGACCCUGGAUAAGUCAUCUCUCCAGGCCUUGAUUUCCCCAUCUGUAAACAGAGGUGAGUGAAAUGAUCUUUAAAGGCGUGUCAGUCCAUUUUGCAUUGCUAUAAAGGAAUACGUAUGGUUGUGAGGCUGGCAUGGUAGUCCCAUCUGCAGUCCCCUGGGAUGAGGCACCUGUAUGGUAGAGGGCCCGGGUGGAGAGAAGAGAAGGAUGGGGAUGAACCCAGGACCACAGAUGGCCCAGUUCCAUGGAUGAUUUUCAUUGAGGUGCCUUCAAGUCAGUUCAACACUGGGCUUCUCAACCUUUGAGGUAUGCAGGUAAGAGUCACCUGCGGCAGUGGGGGAUGCUCUUGUUAAAGUGCAGACUCCGAUUAAGCAGGUCUAGGGUGGGGCCUGAAAUUCUGUGUUCCUAACAAGGCUCCAUCCUGGGUAUGGAGGUCAGGUACCCCCUCACCUCUCCUGUGGACCCAGCUUUUGAGGGGUCAGGAGAAGAAUGUUCAGUCCCAGCUGCCACCACUCUAAAGUCCCCUAGAAACAAGGACUAAUACAGGUGGCGUGGGAGAGGGCCCAGGCAAACAGGGAGGUGGGGUACCCCGGUGGGGCUGCAGUGGGCCCUGCGGAAAGCUUGCUGGAGGUGGGGGCCUAAGGAAUUCAAGGACUUGUUCCAGGAACCCAAGGAACGAGUGGGCUCUAACUGCUGCAGCAUAUGGGAGAUGCCAGGAGGAGCUGGCUGUGGCAGGCCAUCCCAGUCCAUCAGACAACUUGUAGUGGAUGAAGAUGCAGUGUCCAUGGCCAGAAGAAACUCCCGUGGAUGCUCAGGCCAAGGCUGCCAGAAGCACGAGGAGGGGCAGCAUUGAGUGUCAUCGGGAAAAGGCAAAGUGAUGGUCCUGAAGCUGCCCCAUGUGGCCAGUCCCUUUUUGGGAAGCCUGAAUAAAUCCAUUUCCUGUGCACUGUGUGGGAAGCCAACCCCUCUUCAGAGCACCUCUGAACUCAACAGGAUCCUACACUUCUUAUAGGCCUGGCUUGAUGCUGACAUCCUUCAGCCCCAGGGAAGACCUAAAGAUCUCCAGGUCUUGAGGCACCUGGAACACCUCCACCUGAGACCACUUUAACAUGAUUUCUCUGCUUGAGGGAUUUUGGACCAUGCUGUGUGUAUUCAGCCCUAAAACAUGGGCGAGUGCCCGCUUGCAGUUCAAAUUCUCAGAGGAAGUUCCCUGUACUCCACCCAGUGCCAAGUUUAGUUUGUGCAAAUUUCCUUAAUGUCCCCUCCUGUACAACAGGCUUAUUUGGUGUUAACCCUCAUAUCGGGGGUCUAACUCUUUGCUUUUCCAGCUUUUGUGCUGGAAUAUCCCAUUAAACUGUCCAUGUUGGGUAUUUUUUCUUUGUUAGUAAACAUUUGUUGCAUAUUGUUGAUAGCAUUUUAGAUUUGAAGAAAUAACUGACAAAAUCA